CUAUUUAAGGGCUGACUGCCACUGAGGAAGGAUCUCUCUAGAGAUCACUCUUCUUGAAGUCUUUUUUUUGUGACCCCAGGACAUAGGUAAGCCUUCCAUUCAUUCCUGAUUAUCUGUCUCUAACACAAUCUUUCCAACCUAACUUCUCUGUAUACUUAUUGAUUAUACAUCUGUAUGCUCAUCGUUUAUACACUCUGGAACUGGGAAGUUCUCUCUUUUGUUUUCCAUAUGCUAUUGAAUGCUGAUCCUGUUGCUGAGCCUCACAUGUUCCCUUCUCACCCUGCUCCUUUCUCAGGGAUCCCUGUGGUAUCAUUAAUGUCACUGUUUCAGACAGGCAUAUUCAGAUUAAUAUUUGUAUUUGUUUAUGCUGACCCUAUAACAUUCACUGGCUGGUCAUGGUCCCAUGCCCAUAUUGGGCAUGCUGGAUGUAUGGGACUGAAUUCUAAUUCUAACUGAGGCUUAACCCUUUCCACCAUGGUUAACCACAGUCCUGAAAUAUAUUCAGGAAGUGAAUGGGGCCAGGAUAGUACUGGCAACUCUGGGGAGAUUAGAACAAAGAAUAAAAGUAGGGUGUCAAAUGAGUGAUCUAUAUGCACUGCAACAACUCUGCAGUUUUCCUUAUCAGCACUGAGAACCAAUCAGUGGUUCUUAUCUAAUGUAUUAUCUCAGUGGGAAAGAGCUAAUAUAAAAGACCACCAGUUAAUUGUACAUGCACUUGUCAAACUCAAUGUCUUCCUAGCUCUUCUGUGCAAAAGGUAAAGGAAAUACUUUAUUCACUGAAAUUUGAAAGGUGAGCUGGGACAAUGCAAACACAUUUGAAAGAGAAUUUCAGUCUUGGUAGUGUCUAGUUAAUUUUACUUAUGAUCCUGUUAAUAACAAUAAGCAAUGCUUUGGUACAUACUGUAUAGCCAAUCAUUGUGCAGGGACUGAAUCGCAAUGGGGUUAUGCUCUACCCAUUAGAACAGAGUAUGGGCCCAAUAAAAUGGAAACUAGUGGUGAACUAUUGAUGUUAGUUCAUGUGCUGUAUGGGAACAAAAAGGAUUUAUUUUGAGAGUAAUACCAUCAAGACUCAAGACAUUUGUCUUGACUCUGAGUAAAGUAUUUCUCACUUUAGAGGUAUCGCAAUGAGACUCCUGAAAUGGUGCUCACCUAUAUUGGAAAAGGAUGUGUGUGUAGGAGAACCUCUCACAAUUUUAUACUGAUAGGUAUUAUUACUGUAGAUACAAGCAAACAUUUGAAUGUUUGUAACUUUACUAACGUUAUGGGAUGUGACUCUAGUUAUUCAGUUCCAGUUAUGUCCUAUCAGUUGCUGUGGUCCAAUUAUACAUCAAUCCAAGACUUGUCUCCUGUCCCACUUGGAAUGAAUACUCGGUAAAGAAAUUACAAUGUGACAAUCUGUACCAGCUGCUAGACUGCAUCCAAGAUAACGGACAAACUUAGAUUACUGUUAUCCAUGAUAUGGAGGAGAUGUGCCAUGUUCUGGAAAGGGUGAAGAAGGAUGGAGAACACCGCUGAUGGGAAAUAAUCCUUGGAUGGUCACCAACAGCAAGAGGAGUUUUUAAUUCUGUACUUCACCCAGAUGUGAUCAUAUUAAUCAUAACGCUGUGUAUUGGUUGUAAUAAUAUUGUAUAUGAAAGUCUGACUGACUCGGCUCGAAUUACCCAAGGAGUCUGAAAGUUGUCCCAGGUAUUAAAUUACUUUUCCUAGCCUCAUGGUGAUCCAUGAAUAAGGUGAGUUCCAUUAUGUAAAGUGGCAGCACUCACAUUUUUUUUUUCCUUUGAGUUUGUGUUAUUUUUACAAUGUAUAUUUUCCUUCUCCCCUCAUUCCCCUUAAUGCUUUUUUCUUGAAACAACCAUGGGACAGUGACAAUAAGCUUUGCAUGCUGGGUGGUGUGAGAAGAGAGAACAAUGCUUGGCUCAAAGCUUGUUCAGAGGCAACCAUCUGAUACAUGAGAAACUGGAGAAUGCUUGGUUCAAAGCCUGUUUAAUGGUGUCCAUCCAAGGCAUGACCUGCCCAACAAGUUUUUGACAUAAAUGGUUGACUACCAUGAGCACAGAGGAGAGGUGCCUGAAGACUGGAGGAUAGCUGAUGUUACAGCUUGUUCUGGGUGUCAUCUCCAAGUGACUUGAAGAGGAGUUUAUAAGGUGCAGGUCUGGAGAGCAGCUCUUCUGUGCUGGAGUUUGGGGUCCAGCUCUGGUGAAGGAGCAGAGGUAACAGCUGAAUUUCUGCACAAUGGCCUUGCUCGACUGUGGUAGUUUCCCCAGCUUGAAGAUAAGUGUGCUAUCCUGAGAGAGGAGUGGCAUUGACUGCAACAAACUUCUGGCUUCCUUUUUUAAGCUGAGACUGCUGAGAAUUGUAUCUGGUUUCUCGCUUGGUAACUCAGGAGCAUGUGUCUUGGUGAAACCCUUUGUGUUGAACCUCUGAGUGAGUUCCUGGGAACCUUCCUCCCAAACUGAGACUGAACUGUAGCAAAAAUGACUAAUAAGUUAUACUCUGCAUUUGCUCCUUAACAAAAGACAAGGAACUUCACUGGGGUGAUGCCUUUGCAUUAAAUGUUUGUGUGCAGUAUAUUGUAUCUUAAUGUGAGUUUGAAGUUACUAAUAACCUUUGGAUCAUUAACUAAUUAAAAGCAGUUCUGCUGUGAUUGAAGUGCAACAGCAGCAGUGCAGGAUAGAAAAUUGAGCUCAUUUAGGUAGAUAUGAUACUGCUUUUGUCAUGACUUGACUUCAACAGCACCUCAGUGAGUUAUGAGGUUGACUAAUUAGUGCAAGCAUGUCUGCUGGUGAUUAACCUGUUGCUCCUGGUGAUAACAGGACAUAGCUUUUCUCCAGCUUUUUUUAGACAUCUCCAGAGGGAUGUCUAAAAUAUAUAUUACUAAGAUUGAGAGUACACAAACUCAGUGAAAUGUCUAUUUUGCACAGAGUAGGAAUGCACUUGGGGUUGGAAGGGACCUAUGACUAUUACCUCUGUGUGAGACCACCUGAACUUCAAGUGCUACUUCCAGGAGAAGCAUCCAAAUGUUUCUCAAACUUGAUCAGCCUGGGCCUGUAACUGUUGCCCUGAGGAGCUUGUUCUAUUACCUAACCACCAUCUGGUAAAGGAACUUGCAUAAUCUCCAGUGUGGCUUAAUACACAUAAGUUCCUUGCCCUGGCCAGUUGUAGAAAUACUGAAGAACUGAACCGAAGCCCUGUGGACUCUGAGUGAUGCUGGCCUCCAUGCUCUUAUUUAUUCUAACAAACAAAAAUCUGACCUUUGUUCUUUUAUUGUUUAUACUGAACACCAAUCCCUUGUUGCACAUGAGGAACGCAAGGAAGCUCUAACCUUCUCCAAUUUCUACACUCACUUGCACGAAUCAUAGCCAUAGUUAUUUCCCUUCCAUAUCAUCUUGGGUUACUGUGCUGAGAAAACAAAUCCCUUCCCCCAGCCUACAUGCUUUGUGACAAACCAUGGGGCUUCUUUUUAAAUAGAAAUAGCAGUAAAAAUAAACCAUACAGGGAUAAGAGGAGGUCUUUUAAACUUGAUGUGAUUCAGCUAAACUUGAUGUGAUUCAGCUGUUCUCAGGGGGUCAUAGGUUCUUUUGUUGUUAAGUACAUAAAAAAGUAGUAGAAGCAGGAAAACUAAGCAAAAGCACAGGAGAAUGGGUUCAACAACCUCCAAAGAAGAAAAGUGAGCUCACUUGUUGGUACUGCUGGGGAAGACAGUUGUGGAGAUGGUUGGGCUGAUACCCUUUCAUUUUGUUUUUAGUAAUAUUUAAAGUAGGAUGAUCAAACAGAAAUGUACAUCCCUAAAGUCAUCCUCUGACUCUCUGAACCCUCUUCUCCGUUGCUUACACUGAGAUAGGAGGCCAAAUCUGAAGUUUUACUUAGAAAAGACACAGGAAGAACUUGCUUGGUUCCGAGACAUGGCAGCUAUCUAGCUCUUAAAGGAAACUUAAUUGCCAUUCUCAAGAAAUAACUGGUUUCCAACCAAGCUGACUUCCAGAUGCAAGUUCACAAUGGCAAUUUUUUUCCCCUUCAACUCAGAGUAUUUCAGAGUAUUUACACUCUUGUGUAUAUUAAAAAAAAUUAUCUAGGAAAUAGCUUUUUUGGCAACCCAAAUUGUUAACUUCACAUUAUGUUCUCUGCUCAGAAAAGCCCUAGUUCUAUUUACCCCACAGACAGUUCACAUAAUUAAGAAGGCCCACUGGCAUAAAGAAUUUCAGUAGUUUUGGGAAAGGUGAAUUUGCCUUGAAGAUUUUUCAGGGAUUGCAAGACUAAGCUUGUUUCCCCCUUUCCACAGGAUUUGCUUACAGUUGGACUGACCUCCUCCCUUCACAGUGACACUCUGAAUAACUCUGUGCUCAGAUCAGCAAUUAAUAAUGUCAUUGUGCUAUCCCAUCCUACCAGAACUCUUUGCUCUGGAAAGCAAUUGCAUUUUUCAGACAGCAUAUAUUGUUUUAUAGGAACAAAGUAUGCAGAGUCCCUGUAAAGUGCAAAGCAUGCUGGAAGCAGCUGUUUCCACAGAGGCAGCUUCUCUGCUGAGACUUGAAAGAAGUUCUCUGUAAGUUACCUGCAUCUGAGCAAUUGUUUCUGAGAAGCACAUAGAAUCCAAAAGACAAUAAACAACGAAGAAGAAACCUCCAGAAGAAAACAAGUUCCAAUAUUAAAAGCCCCAUCGUUAUGAAAAUCUGCAACGAGGGGGAAUAAUGCCAGCCAAGCAGCGUAAUGUCUCACAGGUUCUGUUUCUGCAGCAUUUGAUAUGCUUCACAGCUUUCACUUAACUCAGACAGAGGAGGCUAAUUAUGAAAUUACUACAUAAAAUAGAGUACAGCACUCAAUGCGCAGAAGAAAAAAAAAAUUUAUUCUCAAAUGUGAAUUAGAAAGGAGUGUGAAAGGAGGUCUUUAAGGACACCUUUCUGAGAACACGGGAGUUCUCCAGCCCCCAGCAGUUUAGAUGAAACUGAACUCAGCAGAAGAUUUAAAAACACAAAAAAUAGAUAGGAAGGGAUUUCUGCAAACACAUUGCUCGGAAGAGAAUGGGCAAGGAAAGUGUUCUCACUCUCAUAAGUGAGAAAAGGCAAUAACAGACAUAGGGAAGGCUGAGGUGCUCAGUGUUCUUCAACUCAAUUUUUGCUGGUGGUCAGGAUUUCCAUAUCUCUCGUGUCCCUAGACCUCCGGGCACAGGCUGGGGGAUCAAAAUCCCUCCUAGUAUAAGAUAAGGAUGAGUCUGAGACCACCUGAUGAGGCUAAAUGCAUCCAAGUCUCUGGGGCCUGAUAACAGGCAUCCCAGGCUCAGGGCCUUGCUAGAUAUGAGCACAGAUCAGAAGAACUCACUGAGGUCAGCCCUGUGGAGAAGAACUCGGGGAUUCCGGUGGACUAGAAGCUCAAUGUGAGCCAACAGCACAUACUUACAGCCCAGAAAAAUCAAGGAUAUCCUGGGCUGCAUCAAGAGAGGGAGGUGAUUGUCCCCCUAUACUCUGCCCUCAUGAAGCUCUAUCUGGAGCCCUGUACCUGGGGCCCUCAGCACGAGAGAGAAUGUGGAGCUCGUGGAGUGGAGCCAGAGAAAGGCCACAAAGAUGAGCAAAGAGCUGCAGCACCCCUCCUAUCAAGGAAAGUUAAGGGAAUUUUAAAGGAAUUAAGUUUGUCUAUCUCAGAAAAAAAUGCCCCACUGUGGCUUCUAGCACUUGAAGGGCGCUUUAAACAGGAGGGGGACCGACUUUUUACAUGGUCUGGGAAAUACUGGAAGGUGAUGGAAAGCACAGCAAUAAC